UACAGAGGUCCCAAGCGUUGUUCGGAUUCACUGGGCGUAAAGGGUGCGUAGGCGGUCGGGUAAGUCUGACGUGAAAUCUUCAAGCUCAACUUGGAAACUGCGUCCGAUACUAUUCGGCUAGAGGAAUGGAGGGGAGACUGGAAUACUUGGUGUAGCAGUGAAAUGCGUAGAUAUCAAGUGGAACACCAGUGGCGAAAGGCGAGUCUCUGGACAUUUCCUGACGCUGAGGCACGAAAGCCAGGGGAGCAAACGGG
rnacentral:rRNA from 1 species